AACGACUCUCGACAACGGAUAUCUCGGCUCUCGCAUCGAUGAAGAACGUAGCGAAAUGCGAUACUUGGUGUGAAUUGCAGAAUCCCGUGAACCAUCGAGUCUUUGAACGCAAGUUGCGCCCGAAGCCUCUAGGCCGAGGGCACGUCUGCCUGGGUGUCACAC
rnacentral:rRNA from 6 species